rnacentral:ncRNA from 1 species
CGUUCUCAGGGCGGGGUGGAAUUCCCCACCGGCGGUAAGCCCCUUCUGACAGAGAUGAAGAGGCAAGCCCGCGAGCGCUCUCGUGUGCACAUCCAUGCACAUGAGGGGUCCAGCAGAUCCGGUGCAAUUCCGGAGCCGACGGUCACAGUCCGGAUGGAAGAGAAUG